AUAGCUAUUAACUAAUUGAUAUUUAUAUAAUAAGCAAUGAAUUUAAAAUCCCUCGGCGGCAACGCUGUGCGGGUUCAAGUCCCGCUCUGGGCACCA
rnacentral:tRNA from 1 species